rnacentral:rRNA from 1 species
UGGGGAAUAUUGCACAAUGGGCGCAAGCCUGAUGCAGCCAUGCCGCGUGUAUGAAGAAGGACUUCGGGUUGUAAAGUACUUUCAGCGGGGAGGAAGGGAGUAAAGUUAAUACCUUUGCUCAUUGACGUUACCCGCAGAAGAAGCACCGGCUAACUCCGUGCCAGCAGCCGCGGUAAUACGGAGGGUGCAAGCGUUAAUCGGAAUUACUGGGCGUAAAGCGCACGCAGGCGGUUUGUUAAGUCAGAUGUGAAAUCCCCGGGCUCAACCUGGGAACUGCAUCUGAUACUGGCAAGCUUGAGUCUCGUAGAGGGGGGUAGAAUUCCAGGUGUAGCGGUGAAAUGCGUAGAGAUCUGGAGGAAUACCGGUGGCGAAGGCGGCCCCCUGGACGAAGACUGACGCACAGGUGCGAAAGCGGGGGGAGCAAACAGG